AGUGUAGCUCAGUGGUAGAGCAGCUGUUUCGUAAACAGCAGGUCGUCGGUUCAAUCCCGACCACU
rnacentral:tRNA from 1 species